rnacentral:lncRNA from 1 species
GGUGGAGAUUUGUAGUAGUAUGGAGGAGGUGGUGAAGGUGAAGGCGGAGGUGGUGACUUAUAUACAUAAGGAGGUGGUGGUGAUGGAGAUGGUGGAGGUGGUGACUUGUAAACAUAUGGAGGAGGUGGUGAGGGGGGUGGAGGUGGAGGUGAUUUGUAGACAUAUGGUGGAGGAGGUGGACUGUUAUAAACGUAUGGUGGAGGAGGUGGUGACUUGUAAACGUAAGGUGGAGGAGGUGGUGACUGAUAAACAUAUGGAGGAGGUGGUGGCGACUUGUAGAUAUAGGGUGGAGGAGGUGGUGACUGAUAAAUGUAUGGAGGAGGUGGUGGUGACUUGUAGACAUAAGGUGGAGGAGGUGGUGACUUAUAUACAUAUGGAGGAGGUGGCGGUGACUUAUAGACAUAAGGUGGAGGAGGUGGUGACUUGUAGACAUAUGGAGGAGGUGGUGGUGACUUGUAGACAUAAGGUGGAGGAGGUGGUGACUUGUAGACAUAAGGUGGAGGAGGUGGUGACUGAUAAACGUAUGGAGGAGGUGGUGGCGACUUGUAGACAUAAGGUGGAGGAGGUGGUGACUUAUAGACAUAAGGUGGAGGAGGUGGUGACUUAUAGAUAUAUGGAGGUGGUGGUGGUGACUUGUAGACAUAAGGUGGAGGAGGCGGUGACUGAUAAAUGUAUGGAGGAGGUGGUGGUGACUUGUAGAUAUAAGGUGGAGGAGGUGGUGACUUAUAGACAUAUGGAGGUGGUGGUGGUGAUUUGUAGACAUAAGGUGGAGGAGGUGGUGACUGAUAAACGUAUGGAGGAGGUGGUGGCGACUUGUAGACAUAAGGUGGAGGAGGUGGUGACUUAUAGACAUAUGGAGGAGGUGGUGGUGACUUGUAGACAUAAGGUGGAGGAGGUGGUGAUUGAUAAACGUAUGGAGGAGGAGGUGGUGACUUGUAGACAUAAGGUGGAGGAGGUGGUGACUGAUAAACGUAUGGAGGAGGAGGUGGUGACUUGUAGACAUAAGGAGGCGGUGGUGAUGGAGAUGGUGGAGGUGGCGAUUUGUAAUAAUAUGGUGGGAAUUUAUGGACAUAAGGAGG